rnacentral:rRNA from 1 species
GACGAACCGUGCGAACGUUGUUCGGAAUCACUGGGCAUAAAGGGCGCGUAGGCGGCUUGUCAAGUCAGGGGUGAAAUCCGGCAGCUUAACUGUCGAAGUGCCUUUGAUACUGAUGAGCUAGAGGGAGAUAGGGGUAUGCGGAACUUCCGGUGGAGCGGUGAAAUGCGUUGAUAUCGGAAGGAACGCCGGUGGCGAAAGCGGCGUACUGGAUCUCUUCUGACGCUGAUGCGCGAAAGCCAGGGGAGCAAACGGG